rnacentral:tRNA from 1 species
CGGGGUGUAGCGCAGUUGGUAGCGCGCUGCGUUCGGGACGCAGAAGCCGCGAGUUCGAGUCUCGCCACUCCGACCA